rnacentral:lncRNA from 1 species
CAAAGAACGUCUUUGCCAAGCACCAGACGCUCGGCAAAGGCCCGCUCUUGGCAAAGGACAUCUUUCCCAAGCGCCAAGCGCUCGGCAACGGCUUGCACUCGGCAAAGAGAUAACACAUGUAACAUGGGGUACCUGCCGUCACCCUUUGCCGAGCGCCCUCCGUUAGGCGCUUGGCAAAGACAUCUCUUUGCCUAGCGCUGACGUUUGGCGCUCGGCAAAGGCAUCUCUUUGCCUAGCGCUGAAUUUUUGCGCUCGGCAAAGGCUCUCUUUGCCUAGCGCUGACUUUUGGCGCUCG